CACCAUUCCACGUUUCUCUUGGACGUUCCUGGGUGGCUGCCCUAAGGUUUGCCCUGUGAGGACAGACACCCUUAGUCUUGUUCACUUUAUCCACAGCCUGUUGAAGGGCAACCGGUACAUUGGAGAUGCUUGAAAUGGUGAAAAUGAAUUAAAUGGUCAAGGCUGCUUCUAAGAGGAGGCCUGACAACGAGAGACUUCAAACCCUCAGCCCUGCCGCCCCUACUCAGCGCUCAAAACACUCUCUCACCCCUGCGGAAGGCAACAGAGACCUUGCCGUGUGCCGGGCUUCCUGCUACAAACCUGCUCUGUGAUCCUGGGCAAAGCUGGUCCUCAUAGUUCUCAACUGUCAGAAAAUAAUAACAGCCAGUGCAUGUUAAACACAGAGGUAAGUGUUUUAUACGCAUGAUUUCAUACGAUGCUCAUGACUCCCCUGUGAGGUCAUCACUGUCAUUAUUCCCUUUUACAGACGAGGAAAUGGAGGCUUGGCAAGCCAUAAUCCUAGCCCAACCUGUGUCACUGUGAAG
rnacentral:lncRNA from 1 species